rnacentral:lncRNA from 1 species
AUUAAUUUAAAAAAAGAUAGAGACGCAGACACCAAGACAAUAUUAGAAACAUCAAAGAUUUAUGUAGGAUAUACCUAUAAGAGAUAAAGGGUUGAGGAACAGAGAAAGGCUUCAGAGUGCAAUGUGGCUCUAAACCUAAGAGGGAGCAGGAAAGGAAACGAGGCUCAGGACACAGUUCAGGCCUGAAAAAGUCAGGCCAGAAGGGAGCCCCAGGGCAAAGACAACUGUUGGGAGAGUCUUGUGUGGGCAGGAACAGCUCAGCCCUGGUCCCUCUGUCAGGCUCAGUCACUGGCUGUGAGCAGCCCAGGGAAAGCGUCUGGAGAUGUCUGCUAACUAGGCUUCUCAUAGCAGGUCAGCGUUUGGAAGGAGACCGAUGCGACACCUGGCUGCUGUGUAAAGGACUGUCACUCAGUCCUUCUUCACUUGUCAGUUUCUGGGACAUACAACAACAAGAUGUUUCCUUCACUGAGCUUUGAAUGGGUCUUAUGAAGAAUAUUUUCAAGUGGUGCCUGCAUUUUGACUUUACAAGGCCAUCAUUACUGACUUUACAAGAGCUUCUGUGGAUAUAUGUUGCCCUAUCACCAACUUUGCUGGCGAUUUAAAUUCAGCACUAAAUUGGCUCCAAGAAUGUUAACCAACGAAUUUGGAUAGCACAGUUUCUGACAUCUUAUCUAGGGGAAAUCUCAGCUGUUCCCUUGCAGAAAUAAGUUUGGAGCAGGGCUGCAAUGCAACCUGAAUUACAGGGCAGAUGAACCAGCUACAAAUGGACAUUCUACCACCACAUGUUCCGUUCCAGAGAAGGAUGCAAUCAGUUCAAGCUGUUUUUGACUGAUGGUUCAGAUCAUGGUCUUGUAAACAGGUCUGAAAAUAGCUGCUUUUUAAAGACUGAAAAUUCCUGUAAUUAGGGUAUGCCUUAAAAAUUAACCCUAAAAAAAAAAUAAAGAUUGGAGGAUGGAGUAGCUUUCAGUCUUGAAUUGCUAGCUGGAUGGCUGCAGCACUGUUCUUAAAAGAGGAGGAAGCAGGUCAUUAGAAGGGAUGUGUCUAAAAGCUAUGUGUCAGAAAAGAAAGGAAAAUGGAGUUUCCUUGGUGCUGGAGAACUGUGUAAUUAACUGGGAUAACAAGCACUGAUAUUUAUUGUGGUGGGAUGCAAGGAAGAAGCUGAAAAACAACACUCCUGGUGUCUCUGCUCCACAUCUGCCAAACUAAUUUGGGGGUAAUUUUAUCAUUUUAAUCUGUGUGAUGUUCUUCCCCAGUUGCUAAAGUACCCUGGUGUAUACCAGAUGUCAAACAUUUAAUGAUGUCUCCGAGGCUCAGGAUGGAUUGGAUUGCAGGUGUUUAAUGCUUACCAGGCCUUUAGAUAAACCCAGAAAUUGGUGUUUCCUGGUUAGCUCUGAUUGACAAUACUUCGAUCCUUUAGUAAAUGUUAAUGGCCAUUCUGGCCACUAGGAGGAGCUAGAGGCUAUUCCAUCCACUUUGCUUUGUAUCACCUAAGACUGGUGCAGAUGUAAAAGGCUUCGUUCAGGUACUUGGGAUGUAAGGAGUUAGUACAAUGAAAGAUGGAAUUAAAACUCCCAGCCAAUAGAGAUAUGGCUUGAAAUACAGUAAAGUGACUAAGAGUACAUAGUUCCCNNNNNNNNNNNNNNNNNNNNNNNNNNNNNNNNNNNNNNNNNNNNNNNNNNNNNNNNNNNNNNNNNNNNNNNNNNNNNNNNNNNNNNNNNNNNNNNNNNNGAAAUACAGUAAAGUGACUAAGAGUACAUAGUUCCCAGAGGCUAGGAUUUAAGUCUUGGCAAAACAUUAACAAAACUCUGAGUCUCGAUGUCUUCAACUUUAGUGUAAGGAUAAUAUUAGCAUCUAUCUCUUAGAUUCAUUGUGAGAAAAAAUUAAAAUUAUCCAAAUGAAGAAUUUAGCUUAGUGUCUGGUACAACCUAAAUGCUGUGCCAUAAAUGUUAUUUAGUUUUGAUAUUAUUAUCUGAUUGUGGAGCUUGGCUUCCAGCUAAGGUGAAUGAUGACUUAGGUUACCUAUGCUAUAGUUCCCUUUCUAGAAGUAGUUUACCUGGAUAUUUGAAACACUAAGUCUAGAGUCAUACAGACUUGGAUUCGAGUCCUGGUUUAGACAUUCAAUAAGUCUGUGACCUUGGGAAGUUUAUUUAACUUUGUUAAACCUCUGUUUAAUGAUCUUUAUCUUUUCCUGCUUUAUUGAGAUACAACUGACACAUAAAACCAGGUAAAUUUAAGGUACAACAUGACAAUU